UGAGGACGCGCGCUUUAGGUCUCAUUUUCCCCUCCGUUCUCUAUCCAAAAUGAGCCGCCGCCAGGCUCCUUCCCUUCUCCUCAGACCCCCUUCUCUCCCAAAGCCGCCAGUCCGAUUCGACGACGAUCUGCAGCAAGGAGAUGGCGGCGGAGCGGUGCAGGUCGCGUCCGUGCUCUCCACGCCCCUCCGCAGCAGCCGCUUUGCCUCCUCUUCCACACCAUGUACCUCCGCCGCAAGCAUGCCGCGACGCCUCCCUGCCGUGAGCUAGUGACCGGAGAGGAAGAACCAGAUCACGACGACGAGCACUGGGGCUAGGUCCCCGUGCACCAGAUCUGUCGUCCCCCACCGCGGGAGGAUCCGUGGAAUCACGGCCUUCGUUCCUUCUACCCUUCUCCAAUUGUGGAUCUGUGCCGAUGACCCCUUAAUGCCCAAGCAGAUCCGCUCUUCCACCCAGUCCAUGAAGGACGGCGUACACGCCUGGUUCCACCACCAUGUCUCUGCCGCUGACAAGGUAUUUCCAGAUGGACUCGAUACCCGGAAGUGUGAAUAGUCUACUACCUCUACUUUAGAAAGUGAAGCCUGUUCUCGUUUAUGCGCCUAAAAUGUCUCUCUGCUCAGUCUAGUUAUACCAUCUCAGCUAGGCGAGAAAAUUCUGACAUAUAUAUACCCUGUUCGUCCAGUCAAUACAACAACAGAUUCUGAAGGAACACCAAGCCUUCAACCUACUUAACCGGUAAUAGACUCUAAAGUUUAUUUCCUUGCUCACCAGCCCUCAUAGACUCUGUUCUGCAAUACCUCUUUAUGUGUCAUAAUGAUAUAAACUAAAUGAUAUUUUGUUAGCUCAAUGUGUUAGAAUUGGGUCAUUUAUUAUUCUAACUGCACAGAAAUUAUAUAUGGUGAUCUAUUUUGACUUCCCUUUUUUAUCUUUGCAAUUACUAAGAUGGAAAUGGUCAGUCCUUUAUUUUAGUUGAUUUUACUAGACUUAUGGUGAUAAUAUCAGGUUUUGAUUAAUUUUUUCCUUGCCAUUGCCAUGUCUCAACCCGGCAAUCCUGCCAAUGGGCACGGGCGCCCAUGGACACCCGACCUGACUGUGCUAUAACUUGCUACUGAAUAAGAAAACUUGAAUUGCCGGCUGAAGUCCUUGCUGCAUCCAAGCCAAACACAGUACAACAUGUUGAAUAGAAGAUGGAACAUGACGUCUCAAAUGUUUCUGCCCAAGAUUUGAAUCUGAGCCUGCUACAGGUGUCGAAGGGAUGUUUGGCGCCCUUAUCAAUCAGACUGGACCUGGUGCACUAAGAAGUAUGCUUAACAUGCCGCCAGAUGUUUUGUGAUCUAGCAAACUCUAGUUGAUACUUGGCUUGACCUACAACAAUUAUGUACAUGCUAAUUGAGUUGUUCAGGGGGUUAGCCAUAGCAAAAUCUAGCUAGCUAGCUAGCCUAUUUUUUGACAAACAUGCUAUGGCUGGUGAUGUUUUGGCAUUUGAUGUAGUAUGCUUAUGAUGACUGAUAUCCAGAGAUAUCUAUAUUAAUUAUGUGAUGUUUCUUUUGAUUCGUAA